CAUGUUUGAACCGAGUCAGGGUUCUUUUUCUUGCUGCAUCUGGAGGCAUGGGUAGCAAGAAACUAAGACGAGUGGGUUUAUCGCAAGAGCUGUGUGACCGUCUGAACAGACAUCAGAUCCUUACCUGUCAGGACUUUCUAUGUCUUUCCCCACUGGAGCUUAUGAAGAUGACUGGCCUUAGUUAUCAAGGUGUCCAUGAACUUCUGUGUCUGGUUAGCAGGGCCUGUGCACCACAGAUGCAAACGGCUUAUGAGAUAAAGACACAGAGGUGUGCUGCUCACUCAUCAGCAUUUUUGUCUACAACCCUGUCUGCUUUGGAUGAAGCCCUGCAUGGUGGUGUAGCUUGUGGAUCCCUCACAGAGAUUACAGGUCCCCCAGGUUGUGGAAAAACUCAGUUUUGUAUCAUGAUGAGCAUUUUGGCUACAUUACCUACCAACAUGGGAGGAUUAGAAGGAUCUGUUGUGUACAUUGACACCGAGUCAGCAUUUAGUGCUGAAAGACUAGUUGAGAUAGCAGAAUCUCGUUUUCCCAGAUAUUUUGACACUGAAGAAAAAUUACUUUUGACAAGCAGUAAAGUUCAUCUUUAUCGGGAACUUAGCUGUGAUGAAGUUCUACAAAGGAUUGAAUCCUUGGAAGAAGAAAUUAUUUCCAAAGGAGUUAAACUUGUGAUUAUUGACUCUGUUGCUUCUGUGGUAAGAAAGGAGUUUGAUACACAGCUUCAGGGCAACGUGAGAGAAAGGAACAAGUUCUUGGCAAGAGAAGCAGCCUCUUUGAAGUAUUUGGCUGAGGAAUUUUCAAUCCCAGUUAUCUUGACGAAUCAGAUUACAACCCAUCUGAGCGGAGCCCUAGCUUCUCAGGCAGACCUGGUGUCUCCAGCUGAUGAUUUGUCCCUGUCUGAAGGCACUUCUGGAUCUAGCUGUUUGACAGCUGCACUAGGAAACACCUGGAGUCACAGUGUGAACACCCGGCUGAUUCUCCAGUACCUUGGUUCAGAGAGAAGACAGAGCCCCUCAUGUGUGAAGUCUAACCCACUGCUCACACUCGUCCAUCGGAAGUGCUCUAACAGCUAUUGAGAAUCUGGGAGAAUAUAUGAAAGGGGACCCCAAAAUAGGAACUUUUAAGAGGAUUCUUUUUUCAGGUCACCAGAUUCUCAUUGCCAAGUCCCCUCUGGCACCCUUCACUGCCUUUGUCUACACCAUCGAGAAGGAAGGCCUGGUUCUUCAAGACCAACAGAGGCCAUAGGGACACUAUGACCUUUGUCUCGAGCUGAUGGGGGCGUGAUUUGUGAAAUGAAACAGGACCGGGCUGCUUGGAAGAAGGAAACGGAAGCCAACAUAAUGGGGAUUAAUUAGUUGAUUGCUGUUGAGAUGGUAACAGAUUUGCCCCCCCACCCCUUUACCAUUGAGCCAGCCAUCUCAGACCUAGCAGGGAAGGUGAAGAUGAAGAGGCCUUUGUUCAGGUCUCUAGAUGCUUGGGGCUGAAGGCUUUGCCGCCAUGGGAUGGCAACAGCCAUAAUAAUAAUAAUUUGCACUUAUAUAGCACCUUUCAACCAGGCACCUCAAAGCGGUUUAACCACAUUAAUUAAUUAAAGCCCACAAUCCCCCUGGGGAGAGGAGGAGGAUGACUAACAGGAUUUGUAAUUACAGGAGGGAACAUUUCCGAAUAAAGUAUUGUCCACCAAAUAAAAAGAGUAGGUGUAAAGGAA